UGAGAGAGAAACCUCAAGCUUUUCUCUAUCUCCAAACCGAACCGUCCUCUUCUUCCUUCUCCGCCUCUGACCAGAACCCGACCCUUCUCUGGCUCUUCCCCCAAACCUUAUCCCUCUCUCUGCCCCGUCCUAAUCGAACCAAAACCUCAAAGCCCCAGAAAACAAAUUCGCAGAGAUCUCUUUAUGGCUCAUCUCCGAGGUGCAACCUGGCGUUGACUCAUCAGAGGAAGGUGAAGAAUAUGGUGGCCACGGUGAGCCCACCCCGCUGGUCGGAGAUCGGUGACGGAGGAGAGAGUCCUCCAGAUCCACUUUCUCUCUCCUCCCUCUCUCUUUCAGAAAAAGAUUGAAAGGAUUGAUUUUGAAUCAAAGAUUUAGGAAUGGCUUCAAGAGUCGUUGAUCAACAACAAGCCAGAGGAGCACUACUUUUGGCCUUCAGACAGCAUUGCUCUGGAGAAAUUUGAGAUAAAGUGGCAUGAAGUAACAAACCAAGUGGGUGAACAGAUCACCUCGAGUACUAUUUUGGAACUAUAUGGUGGAAUGUUGCAUAAAGAGUCUUUGGGAGAUCGAGCGUGGAGUACCAAGCAUUAAUGCAGCAAGCUAUAUUUUGUUUCAUCAUGUAAAACUUAACCAGGAAACUUAAAUGCUUUUUAGUCUAUCCAAUGUAUGAAUGCUUUAGCAAUGUUCCUUAAAUUCAAUAUUUGAUGAAUUGAUGUAUCCCAAUGACUUUGGUACAAAUGUUGAUCAUUUGAUGGUUUGCAUUCAA